UACGGAGGAUCCAAGCGUUAUCCGGAUUUAUUGGGUUUAAAGGGUGCGUAGGCGGAUUGAUAAGUCAGUGGUGAAAGCCUACAGCUUAACUGUAGAAUUGCCAUUGAUACUAUCUAUCUUGAGUACAGUUGGGGUGGGUGGAAUUUGUCAUGUAGCGGUGAAAUGCAUAGAUAUGACAAAGAACACCGAUCGCGAAGGCAGCUCACCUAACUGUAACUGACGCUGAGGCACGAAAGCGUGGGGAU
rnacentral:rRNA from 1 species